rnacentral:rRNA from 1 species
UACAGAGGGGGCGAGCGUUGUUCGGAAUUACUGGGCGUAAAGGGCGCGUAGGCGGCCCGCUAAGUCGAACGUGAAAUCCCCAGGCUCAACCUGGGAACUGCGUCCGAUACUGGCAGGCUUGAAUCCGGGAGAGGGAUGUGGAAUUCCAGGUGUAGCGGUGAAAUGCGCAGAUAUCGGGAGGAACACCAGUAGCGAAGGCGGCUCGCUGGGCCGUUCCUGACGCUGAGACGCGAAAGCUAGGGGAGCGAACAGG